CAACCCCUGCUUGGUGCGUGACGAGCCUUUUUAAACCCACAUUUUCACAUCGGGAUGCCGGGCUUCCCCGCUGGAUCGCAGGCCUCCCGGCCUUAGGGCCGGAAGUUGGAAGCGAGGAAUGCGAGGAGAGGCGACCCACCUGCGUGCGCGUGCAGGUUAUAAACGGGUUCGCACGGCCAAAGUGGGGUUUCU
rnacentral:other from 1 species